rnacentral:rRNA from 1 species
AUUGAACGCUGGCGGCAUGCCUUACACAUGCAAGUCGAACGGCAGCACGGGUGCUUGCACCUGGUGGCGAGUGGCGAACGGGUGAGUAAUACAUCGGAACAUGUCCUGUAGUGGGGGAUAGCCCGGCGAAAGCCGGAUUAAUACUGCAUACGAUCUACGGAUGAAAGCGGGGGCCCUUCGGGCCUCGCGCUAUAGGGUUGGCCGAUGGCUGAUUAGCUAGUUGGUGGGGUAAAGGCCUACCAAGGCGACGAUCAGUAGCUGGUCUGAGAGGACGACCAGCCACACUGGGACUGAGACACGGCCCAGACUCCUACGGGAGGCAGCAGUGGGGAAUUUUGGACAAAGGGCGAAAGCCUGAUCCAGCAAUGCCGCGUGUGUGAAGAAGGCCUUCGGGUUGUAAAGCACUUUUGUCCGGAAAGAAAUCCUUGGCCCUAAUACGGUCGGGGGAUGACGGUACCGGAAGAGUAAGCACCGGCUAACUACGUG